rnacentral:rRNA from 1 species
UUAAGUUAUUAAGGGCGCACGGUGGAUGCCUUGGCACUAGAAGCCGAUGAAGGACGUUACUAACGACGAUAUGCUUUGGGGAGCUGUAAGUAAGCUUUGAUCCAGAGAUUUCCGAAUGGGGAAACCCAGCAUGAGUUAUGUCAUGUUAUCGAUAUGUGAAUACAUAGCAUAUCAGAAGGCACACCCGGAGAACUGAAACAUCUUAGUACCCGGAGGAAGAGAAAGAAAAUUCGAUUCCCUUAGUAGCGGCGAGCGAAACGGGAAGAGCCCAAACCAACAAGCUUGCUUGUUGGGGUUGUAGGACAUUCUAUACGGAGUUACAAAGGACGACAUUAGACGAAUCAUCUGGAAAGAUGAAUCAAAGAAGGUAAUAAUCCUGUAGUCGAAAAUGUUGUCUCUCUUGAGUGGAUCCUGAGUACGACGGAGCACGUGAAAUUCCGUCGGAAUCUGGGAGGACCAUCUCCUAAGGCUAAAUACUCUCUAGUGACCGAUAGUGAACCAGUACCGUGAGGGAAAGGUGAAAAGCACCCCGGAAGGGGAGUGAAAUAGAACCUGAAACCGUGUGCUUACAAGUAGUCAGAGCCCGUUAAUGGGUGAUGGCGUGCCUUUUGUAGAAUGAACCGGCGAGUUACGAUUUGAUGCAAGGUUAAGCAGUAAAUGUGGAGCCGUAGCGAAAGCGAGUCUGAAUAGGGCGUUUAGUAUUUGGUCGUAGACCCGAAACCAGGUGAUCUACCCUUGGUCAGGUUGAAGUUCAGGUAACACUGAAUGGAGGACCGAACCGACUUACGUUGAAAAGUGAGCGGAUGAACUGAGGGUAGCGGAGAAAUUCCAAUCGAACCUGGAGAUAGCUGGUUCUCUCCGAAAUAGCUUUAGGGCUAGCCUCAAGUGAUGAUUAUUGGAGGUAGAGCACUGUUUGGACGAGGGGCCCCUCUCGGGUUACCGAAUUCAGACAAACUCCGAAUGCCAAUUAAUUUAACUUGGGAGUCAGAACAUGGGUGAUAAGGUCCGUGUUCGAAAGGGAAACAGCCCAGACCACCAGCUAAGGUCCCAAAAUAUAUGUUAAGUGGAAAAGGAUGUGGCGUUGCCCAGACAACUAGGAUGUUGGCUUAGAAGCAGCCAUCAUUUAAAGAGUGCGUAAUAGCUCACUAGUCGAGUGACACUGCGCCGAAAAUGUACCGGGGCUAAACAUAUUACCGAAGCUGUGGAUUGUCCUUUGGACAAUGGUAGGAGAGCGUUCUAAGGGCGUUGAAGCAUGAUCGUAAGGACAUGUGGAGCGCUUAGAAGUGAGAAUGCCGGUGUGAGUAGCGAAAGACGGGUGAGAAUCCCGUCCACCGAUUGACUAAGGUUUCCAGAGGAAGGCUCGUCCGCUCUGGGUUAGUCGGGUCCUAAGCUGAGGCCGACAGGCGUAGGCGAUGGAUAACAGGUUGAUAUUCCUGUACCACCUAUAAUCGUUUUAAUCGAUGGGGGGACGCAGUAGGAUAGGCGAAGCGUGCGAUUGGAUUGCACGUCUAAGCAGUAAGGCUGAGUAUUAGGCAAAUCCGGUACUCGUUAAGGCUGAGCUGUGAUGGGGAGAAGACAUUGUGUCUUCGAGUCGUUGAUUUCACACUGCCGAGAAAAGCCUCUAGAUAGAAAAUAGGUGCCCGUACCGCAAACCGACACAGGUAGUCAAGAUGAGAAUUCUAAGGUGAGCGAGCGAACUCUCGUUAAGGAACUCGGCAAAAUGACCCCGUAACUUCGGGAGAAGGGGUGCUCUUUAGGGUUAACGCCCAGAAGAGCCGCAGUGAAUAGGCCCAAGCGACUGUUUAUCAAAAACACAGGUCUCUGCUAAACCGUAAGGUGAUGUAUAGGGGCUGACGCCUGCCCGGUGCUGGAAGGUUAAGAGGAGUGGUUAGCUUCUGCGAAGCUACGAAUCGAAGCCCCAGUAAACGGCGGCCGUAACUAUAACGGUCCUAAGGUAGCGAAAUUCCUUGUCGGGUAAGUUCCGACCCGCACGAAAGGCGUAACGAUUUGGGCACUGUCUCAACGAGAGACUCGGUGAAAUCAUAGUACCUGUGAAGAUGCAGGUUACCCGCGACAGGACGGAAAGACCCCGUGGAGCUUUACUGUAGCCUGAUAUUGAAAUUCGGCACAGCUUGUACAGGAUAGGUAGGAGCCUUUGAAACGUGAGCGCUAGCUUACGUGGAGGCGCUGGUGGGAUACUACCCUAGCUGUGUUGGCUUUCUAACCCGCACCACUUAUCGUGGUGGGAGACAGUGUCAGGCGGGCAGUUUGACUGGGGCGGUCGCCUCCUAAAAGGUAACGGAGGCGCUCAAAGGUUCCCUCAGAAUGGUUGGAAAUCAUUCAUAGAGUGUAAAGGCAUAAGGGAGCUUGACUGCGAGACCUACAAGUCGAGCAGGGUCGAAAGACGGACUUAGUGAUCCGGUGGUUCCGCAUGGAAGGGCCAUCGCUCAACGGAUAAAAGCUACCCCGGGGAUAACAGGCUUAUCUCCCCCAAGAGUUCACAUCGACGGGGAGGUUUGGCACCUCGAUGUCGGCUCAUCGCAUCCUGGGGCUGUAGUCGGUCCCAAGGGUUGGGCUGUUCGCCCAUUAAAGCGGUACGCGAGCUGGGUUCAGAACGUCGUGAGACAGUUCGGUCCCUAUCCGUCGUGGGCGUAGGAAAUUUGAGAGGAGCUGUCCUUAGUACGAGAGGACCGGGAUGGACAUACCUCUGGUGUACCAGUUGUCGUGCCAACGGCAUAGCUGGGUAGCUAUGUGUGGACGGGAUAAGUGCUGAAAGCAUCUAAGCAUGAAGCCCCCCUCAAGAUGAGAUUUCCCAACUUCGGUUAUAAGAUCCCUCAAAGAUGAUGAGGUUAAUAGGUUCGAGGUGGAAGCAUGGUGACAUGUGGAGCUGACGAAUACUAAUCGAUCGAAGACUUAAUCAA